AACUGAUACUACCUGCGGGAACCUGCGGAAGGAUCAUUACCAAACUUGGCCGCAAGGCCAUGCUGGAGGGUGGUUUCGGCCCCCGACAGUAUACCCUUUGUGAAAAACCUCUGUUGCUUCGGCGGCAUUCCCGGGGGCAACCCCGGGGUGUCAGUCCGCCGACGGCCCUCAGGAAACUCUUUCAGUAAUUUGAACUGUCUGAUAUAUUAGCGAAUGCUAUAAAACUUUUAACAACGGAUC
rnacentral:misc_RNA from 1 species